rnacentral:rRNA from 1 species
CCUACGGGAGGCAGCAGUGGGGAAUAUUGGGCAAUGGAGGAAACUCUGACCCAGCGACGCCGCGUGCGGGAUGAAGGCCUUCGGGUUGUAAACCGCUUUCAGUAGGGAAGAAGCGAAAGUGACGGUACCUACAGAAGAAGCACCGGCUAACUAUGUGCCAGCAGCCGCGGUAAUACAUAGGGUGCAAGCGUUGUCCGGAAUUAUUGGGCGUAAAGAGCUCGUAGGUGGUUCGUCACGUCGGAUGUGAAAAUCUGGGGCUCAACCCCAGACCCGCAUUCGAUACGGGCGAUCUAGAGUGUGGUAGGGGAGACUGGAAUUCCUGGUGUAGCGGUGGAAUGCGCAGAUAUCAGGAGGAACACCAAUGGCGAAGGCAGGUCUCUGGGCCAUUACUGACACUGAGGAGCGAAAGCGUGGGGAGCGAACAGGAUUAGAUACCCUGGUAGUCCACGCCGUAAACGGUGGGCACUAGUUGUGGGAACCUUCCACGGUUUCUGCGACGCAGCUAACGCAUUAAGUGCCCCGCCUGGGGAGUACGAUCGCAAGNUUAAAACUCAAAGGAAUUGACGG